AACUACUCUCCAGCGCCCACCGGGAGGAGGGGUCCGGGGAAAGGGUAAGCCGAGGAAGGAGAAGACGCUCCGGCCAGACCGAACGCAGAAUUGGCAUCCUCUGCUUCUGCAGAAAACAUGGCUACCAACAGCUUCUGAAUCCACCUGCAGAGGAGACUGACUGCUCUGUUAUUCCCCCAGCAUCUGUGAAGAGGCUCUGACUGGCUAAAAUGUGGAAGGAGUCUGUAGCUUUAGGGGAAGACAGAGCCACAAGAUGGAAGGAGCUUGGAUGUCUGAACUACUCCAUGGAGAAAAGCUGCAGCCAACGAAGAACACCUGCAAUGGACUCUUAACCUGGGGUGACGACAACCACUGAAAUAUGCUGCAUCUUAGUCCAGGGAUUUUUAAAGUGUGGUUCCUGGAAGAGCUGGAUCAGAGUCAUCUGUGUUGAUGGUUUAACAUAAAGAUUUUCGGGCCCCAAGACUCAAAUAGGACAAGGAAUUUGAAUUUUUAAGCAGCUCACCUGACUUGUCUGUCCUCUAAUGUCUGAAGACAUCUGACCUCUGCUCUUUCAGUAAAAGC
rnacentral:antisense_RNA from 1 species